rnacentral:tRNA from 1 species
AGGGUUUUAGUUUAAUAGGUAAAACGUUAUACUUCGGAUAUAUCAACGAGGGUUCAAAUCCAUCAUACCCUU